UUGUGAUCACCAUAGUGCACCUCACCUCUUCCUCCGCCAGAGGGGGACAGAGGCUUUGUCUGAAAUCAAACCUACUUUCCUACCUUAUGCACUGACAUGUUGAAGUGCCAGAAAUGCGAGAUUUUGCACCCUAUAGUUCACUUAAAAGUUAAACAUUUCAGAGGCUGUGGUUUUGUGGUGCUAAAACGACGGGCAUUAGAUUGACCAUUAAGUUGAAUCGACACCUCUCUGCAACAUUCAGGAAGUGGCUGCCGCCUCCUACAUGUUUUAUCCCACUUCGAUGACAGUGGACAACAAUGAAGUCCCAUUUUCACAACGGGGAGGAGUGGGAUAAUUAGAGCACAGAUCCUCCAGAAGAAGGACCCUCCCUGCUGCUCUGCCUCAACAGAUCCAAAAUCACUGUUCUCUCUCUGUCUGCCUGUCUGUGUGUCUCCCUGAUUGGUUGCAGGGCAGCCUACAAAGCUUGGAUGUCCCAUCUGCUGUGAGACUGGGCUUGCAAUAUCAUCUUACAACAUCACACUUUCAAUAAAACAACAAUACAAUCUCAA